GGGGAUAUGGUUUAGUGGUAUAAUUUCUCAUUUGCAACGAUCUUUCGGUCUUGAAAAUUGAGACGGUCGUGGGUUCGAUUCCCACUGUCUCCA